rnacentral:lncRNA from 1 species
UCACGUCCACAAACAGAAUCCCUGUUUCAAAAUCCCAUCUUCCGGCUUAAUCUCCCAACGACCCAGCCAUUGUUUCACGUCCAUGUUGAUCCGGUCUGCAUCUCAGCCGUGAGCCAUAUCCUCCCGAAUCAUCUGCGAUCGAGCUUCUUCUUCCUAGCAUCCCCUGUUUCCAUCCGAAUUCAUCCCAGCAUCUUCCGGAUGAGCUCUCAACUGCCUCCCAGAUUUCCUCUUCCGAAUCCAUCAGCAUCCUGAGCAUCUCCUCUCAGCCGAGAUACUCUUAACUUCAUGACUCCCUUUUCUUCCGCGAUUCAGCCGAGAUCUUCUCCGCAUCCUCCCAACCUUCUCC